rnacentral:rRNA from 1 species
AUUGAACGCUGGCGGAAUGCUUUACACAUGCAAGUCGAGCGGCAGCGCGGGGCAACCUGGCGGCGAGCGGCGAACGGGUGAGUAAUACAUCGGAACGUACCCAGUUGUGGGGGGAUAGCCCGGCGAAAGCCGGAUUAAUACCGCAUACGACCUGAGGGUGAAAGGGGGGGAUCGCAAGACCUCUCGCAGUUGGAGCGGCCGAUGGCGGAUUAGCUAGUUGGUGAGGUAAAGGCUCACCAAGGCGACGAUCCGUAGCUGGUCUGAGAGGACGACCAGCCACACUGGAACUGAGACACGGUCCAGACUCCUACGGGAGGCAGCAGUGGGGAAUUUUGGACAAUGGGGGCAACCCUGAUCCAGCCAUUCCGCGUGAGUG